AGUGAACGCUGGCGGUAGGCCUAACACAUGCAAGUCGAACGGCAGCACAGUAAGAGCUUGCUCUUACGGGUGGCGAGUGGCGGACGGGUGAGGAAUACAUCGGAAUCUACUUUUUCGUGGGGGAUAACGUAGGGAAACUUACGCUAAUACCGCAUACGACCUACGGGUGAAAGCAGGGGAUCUUCGGACCUUGCGCGAUUGAAUGAGCCGAUGUCGGAUUAGCUAGUUGGCGGGGUAAAGGCCCACCAAGGCGACGAUCCGUAGCUGGUCUGAGAGGAUGAUCAGCCACACGGGAACUGAGACACGGUCCAGACUCCUACGGGAGGCAGCAGUGGGGAAUAUUGGACAAUGGGCGCAAGCCUGAUCCAGCCAUACCGCGUGGGUGAAGAAGGCCUUCGGGUUGUAAAGCCCUUUUGUUGGGAAAGAAAAGCAGCAGGUUAAUACCCCGCUGUUCUGACGGGACCCAAAGAAUAAGCACCGGCGAACUUCGG
rnacentral:rRNA from 1 species